rnacentral:rRNA from 1 species
AUGUUUUCUCUUACUUUGGACAAUGCAUCUUCAAAUGAAGUUUGUGUUAAACAUGUCAUUAGUAAACUGAAAGAGUAUUCCCCUCUAGUAUGUGAUGGUGAAUUCUUUCAUGUGAGAUGUGCAAAUCAUGUUCUUAAUCUGGUUGCUAGAGAUGGUCUUGAUCAGAUUUCAAAUGCAGUUUCGGGUGUUAAGGCAUUUGUUUUGGCAGUAAAAUCAUCGCCUUAGUUGGAGGAGGAAUUAUAUAAGUGUGCAUCUGAGUGUGGGUUGUCCACAGAAAAAGGUCUACGGCUGGAUGUCCAAACAAGGUGGAAUUCUACAUACCACAUGUUGAGUGAUGCCCUAUAUUAUAAGAAGGCCUUUGAUAGGUUGCAUGAGAUUGACAAAAGGAAGUUUGACAAGUUUGCUCCAACAGCUGAUGAUUGGGACAAGGCGCUUACCCUU